UACGGAGGGUGCAAGCGUUAUCCGGAUUCACUGGGUUUAAAGGGUGCGUAGGUGGGUUGGUAAGUCAGUGGUGAAAUCCCCGAGCUUAACUUGGGAACUGCCAUUGAUACUAUUAAUCUUGAAUACCGUGGAGGUUAGCGGAAUAUGUCAUGUAGCGGUGAAAUGCUUAGAUAUGACAUAGAACACCAAUUGCGAAGGCAGCUGGCUACACGAAUAUUGACACUGAUGCACGAAAAGCGUGGGGAUCAAACAGG
rnacentral:rRNA from 1 species